rnacentral:rRNA from 1 species
UACGUAGGGUGCGAGCGUUAAUCGGAAUGACUGGGCGUAAAGCGCGCGUAGGCGGGCUGGAAAGUUGGGGGUGAAAUCCCGGGGCUCAACCCCGGAAUGGCCUUCAAGACUCCCAGCCUAGAGUUCGAGAGAGGUGAGUGGAAUUCCGAGUGUAGAGGUGAAAUUCGUAGAUAUUCGGAGGAACACCAGUGGCGAAGGCGGCUCACUGGCUCGACACUGACGCUGAGGUGCGAAAGCGUGGGGAGCAAACAGG